UCUUUCUUAGUUCAGUGGUUAAGCAUGCUUGACUUGAGAUCAAAAGGGCCUGAGUUCGAGUCCUAGCCAUGGCA